AUGAGCAUCAUCCACGAUUUUGGACUUGCGUCAGGGUUGAAAGUAAACCUGCAGAAAUCUUCGGUGGCUGCAAUUAGAUGCGAUCAAGUUAACCUGCAGCAGGUGCUCCAGAACUUUGGUGGGCAACAAACUCAGUUCCCCCUUCGAUACCUUGGGAUCCCAGUGACACUCUCUAGGCUUCGCAUAGUACACCUACAAUUCAUCCUCAACCGAAUCAGAGCUCGUCUAGCAGGCUGGAAAGGGCGACUGCUCACCAUUGCGGGAUGGCGAGUACUCAUCAGAAGUGUUCUGUCAGCACUUCCCACCUUUGCCCUGACGGUACUGAAGGUGCCAAAUAAGCUACUCGCUGAGAUAGACAAGAUCAGAAGGCGUUUCCUCUAG
rnacentral:rRNA from 1 species